GGAGAAGAGAGAGCCCCCUAAAAAAAGCUGCGCAGCGAUCUUCUUCUUCCUCGAUGACCCUUGAAACCCUCCAUUAAAUCCAGCAGUCAACACCACUGAAAUCCAGCUGAAACAAGCAAAACACACCUACUACAGUCACAAAAUAGAGGAGUUUUGAAUUCUUUUGCUUCUUCUUAAAGGUCAGGAAACCAAAAUCAACAAAAAAAUCAAACCUUAGGAUACCCGAAAAUACUUUGUCGAUCAGUAUCCAAAAGCACACAACCUCUCAUCCUUAAGCUCCAUUUCUUGCAAAGCUUUGGCGGAAUUCGAAGAGGUGCUGCCGAGGUCUUUGGCGGAAUUCGAGUUGCCGGCGAGUUUUGGUUUGUUGGUCUCGGUCGAAAUUUUCAUUCCAGAUUUUGUUCGAGUUUCAAUGGCAUAGAUUUCAGUCUAUUGGAGUUUUGGCUUUGAAGCUUUGUCCGGUGUUUGUCUCUGCUGUGAAGCUUUGUUAAAAGAGCUUUGGUUCGAGGUAUCCAUUUGCGGUUUUCUGUCCAGUCGAUGGUUCGUGUUUGAGUCAAGUUACAUUGAUGUCCAUUUUUGCCGCCACCCGUCCCUCUUCACUCUUUUCUCCUCACUCAUCCAAUAUCAGCUGGAAGUCCUUGAGAAUAUAUAGAGAAUACCUGGCUAGAUUUGAAAGUUGAGUUUCAGAAAAUUAAGAGAAAAGUACCAGAAAGCAAAAACAGUAAAAUUUCAACCAAAUACAAUUAAAAAAAAAUGUUGAUUCCAAAGGAUUCUUCUAUGUCAUUUCUGGAUUCUUAAGCUGGAUAUCUUGCCUGUUUCUGCUGUAGCAUUAUAGUUGAGCUCAUUUUCGAUUUUUCGACCUUUAUUUGGUUUCAAUUUCCUCUCCUGUGCUAUUUUCGAGGUAAUCUUCUACUGCCUCAUAUGGUUUCUUCUAAUGUACUGAGAUUUGAGUUUUCUCCAGAACUAUUCUAGCGUGAGAUUGUUAUCUUUAUCUGCUGUUACUAGUUAGAUUUAUGCACUUCGAUUAGUUCUUAGCACGAAGUAAAUUGCUAUCUACUCAAUGUCUGAAAUCACGGUUGAUCCCUGAUGCAUCUGCUAUUAUUGUUUGGAUUCAGUGAUUUUGAAUUUAGUUUUAACACAAUAAAAUGCUUAUGAACACGAUGAA